rnacentral:ncRNA from 1 species
CUGUGUUCAGUGUAAGUAGCUUGUACUUUGACAGUACAAGCGACCGGUGCCCCGGGUGAGUAACACGUGAAUUAUCUACCUUUUAAUUCAGAAUAAUUAUUUUUAUAAAAAUACUGAAUAAAUAAAUUAAAGUUUUUAACGUUAAAAGAUGAGUUUGCGCAAGAUUAAUGGUAGUUGGUUGUUUAAUAGACUACCAAGCCUCUUAUCUUUAGCUGGUUUGAAAGAAUGAUCAGCCACAUUGGGACUGAGACACGGCCCAAACUUUUUUAAAGGCAGCAGUGGGGAAUUUUGGAAAGCUGCAUCCA